GCAGAAUUGGUCCCUGUACUUUGGCAACUUUGGUCCUCAUUUUUUAGCCAUUUUGACACUUUUGGUUCUUAUAAUUGAUAUUUUUACAUUUUUUAGGAACCUUUUAAUAUUUAAUAUUGGCCACAAAACUUUAACGGUUUGACAACUUUGAUCAAUUUUCUAUUUAGGAACCUUUUAAUAUUAAAAGUUUGACUACAAAACUUUAUUGGUUUUACAACUUUAACGGACUUUAUGUUGUUUUUUUUGGCAGAAUUGGUCCCUGUACUUUGACAACUUUGGUCCUCAUAUUUUUUUUAGCUAUUUUGACACUUUUGGUUCUUGUAAUCAAUAUUUUUACAUUUUUUAGGAACCUUUUAAUAUUUAAUGUUUGGCCACAAAACUUUAACAUUUUGACAACUUUGGUCCUCAUUUUUAGCCAUUUUGACACUUUUGGUCCUUAUAAUCGAUAUUUUUACAAUUUUUAGAAACCUUUUAAUAUUUAAUGUUUGGCCACAAAACUUUAACAUUUUGACAACUUUGGUCCUCAUUUUUAGCCAUUUUGACACUUUUGGUCCUUAUAAUCGAUAUUUUUACAUUUUUUAAGAACCUUUUAAUAUUUAAAGUUUGGCCACAAAACUUUAACGGUUUGACAACUUUG
rnacentral:lncRNA from 1 species